rnacentral:rRNA from 1 species
GGCCCGGGAUAGCCCAGGGAAACCUGGAUUAAUACCGGAUGAGACGGGACCUGCGAUGGCGGGAUCCGGGAAAGGCGCUACGGCGCCGCCGGGGGAUGAGUCUGCGUCCCAUUAGCUAGACGGCGGGGUAACGGCCCACCGUGGCGACGAUGGGUAGCCGGCCUGAGAGGGUGGACGGCCACAUUGGAACUGAGACACGGUCCAGACUCCUACGGGAGGCAGCAGCUAAGAAUCUUCCGCAAUGGGCGAAAGCCUGACGGAGCGACGCCCGCGUGAACGAAGAAGGCCGUGAGGUUGUUAAAGUUCUUUUCGGGAGGGGGAACAACCGUGGCAGGGAAUGGCCGCGGGAUGACGUGAAUCCCGGAAUAAGCCCCGGCUAACUACGUGCCAGCCGCAGC